AUAGUUCCUGAUGAGAGAUUGCAUUUCUCAAUUGAAAUGAAAAAAGGACUCGGGGAAAAAAAUGGCAGCUGAAAAGAUCUUGUUGAUCUUCAAGUGAAUAGAGGACUUUUGCAUGGACAUAACCAUGGCAACGCACUAUAAAACAUCUGUCCUGUUUUAUGUUUGUCAUUCAAAACUCAAGCCAGACAGUGAAGCAUUGUUUUGUUGAGACUGAUGAGCUUGCCUUCUGCGUGUACGCUUGAAUUCUUGAACCCCCCCUGCUGUGUUGCUUAAAAGUCACGGUUUAAUCGCUGUAAAAGAUCUGUAUAAACACUCAACCAGAUGCCACAGGAGAAAAUUUGUCAUGGGAGUUAGGAAGAGGAAGACUUCAAAUGUGCCACUUCUGCUGAGAGCUGGACUGCGUAAUGUUCACGGGUGUCACGGACGGGUUGAUUAGGACCCGAAUGCAGGCCAGGACACAGGAGGGAGGGGGCACACAAAGAACACGAGGAACACGAGGGCAGCCCUCCAGGACUGCGGAGGGCGCAGGGAACAGGGGAGGCCCUCCAGGGCGCAGGGAACUGGAGCAGCCCUCCAGGAGACACGAAGCUGGAGCGGCCCUCCAGGAAAUACAGAACACCAGCACACAACAAGGAAGACGAACAGACACGCUGACAAGACAAACAGACAACCUCACAACCCAAAGACACAACCUGCUUAAAUGGGCAGCCCGAUGUAAAUUGCCUACAGGUGUGCCUGCCAGCAGUGCCAGCUGCCACCAAUUGUGCCGCACACCACCCCCUGCAGGACAACGACCGACACAACCCAGAAACCCUGACAACGGGCCAUUUAGCAGGUUCAACUCUUGUGCUAAUUGCUCCUGCUCCUGUGGGCAAUGCUGUCAACAACAGAUGAGGAAGUGAAACUGACCAUUCUCACGCAUCAGUUUGCGCUACAGUGUUCAAACUUGCCACUGCAUGGCAGAGAAGACUAAAUAAAACUAAAAUCAAUGUUCCUCGAAGGCUGACUUUCCACAGCCAAACUUAGGAAAGGGUUCUUGUUUGUGUAAACUGCCAUGGUGUUCGCUACACAGAAGAAACAAAACCAAUGAAAUCAUCUUGUAUAAUAAUCUGAAUAACAUUCAUUGACAUCUUGAUCAAUAAGAAAUUGUUCAAUUUUCAAACACCACG
rnacentral:lncRNA from 1 species